GUAUUAUUUUUUAAAUCCGAACCUGUUCCAACCUUGAUUAUACAAUACCCAAACCCGUCCCAGCCCUUUGGACUACAAUUUCUUCCAAGCUCCUAGUCAAAACCGGGAAUAAGGAAAGCAAGACCCAAGUGAACAAAAGGAUGAGCCAAUAAAAUUCCUGCACACAUUCGUCUCCAGAUCCGAAUGGGAUUAACUCAUAGUUUUGCCGCUUGAAAUCAAUAUUGAAGCCUAAAAAUAUCUCAGGGUUGAAAGACAAAGGAUCCUCUCAAGUAUCAGGGUCUCUUCCAAUAGCCCAUGCAUUUACUAAAACUUGUGCGUCUUUAGGUAUGCGGUAUCUCACGAAGUGUCCAUCUUCUAAUGUAUUUCUUGGAAGCAGCAAUGGGUUUACAGGAUGUAGUCGCACUGUUUCUUUGAUCAGUGCUUGCGGAUAUAGCAGUUCUUCAUUGUCUCUCUCUUCAACCUUCUUGCUUGAUCCAACAACUCGAUUAAUUUCAUCAUUAACUGUUCUCAUUGAUUUCGGGUGCCGAAGCAGCUCUGCCAGGGCCCAUUCAAUAGUGAUGCCUGAAGUUCCUGACCCACCAAGAAAUACUUCCAGUAUAGUUACGAGUAUAUUACGAGUUGAGAUCUUAUCAGGCUCUUCUUUUUCAUUGCCUUCAUACUCCAACAGGACAUCCAAGAAAUCCUUGUCUUCUCUUUCGCCAAUUGAUUCUCUGCAAUCCUUUCUUUCACGAACCUCUCUACAACCUUCAUCGCUCGUCCCAAGUCUCGCGCCAUAUUUCUCUUGAUUCCCUGAGGAUCCAUCCAUUUCAAAACAGGCAAGAAGUCGGCCACAUUUGGCUUGCCUCCCUACUCCAUCCUUAGUCAUAGCAUCAUAGAGCUCGCUCCCAUCUUCCGACUGAGAAUUCAAAAGAUCCUAGGAGAACACCAGGUUGCCAAUGAAGUUGAAUGUCAAGACAAAGAGGUGGUGAGCUAUAUUCACCUCCCCUGAUUCUCCCCUUGCACAAUGGGCUUGAAAUUUGAAAAAGGUCAUUACUUAGAAGGAGAUUCAUUGAUGAGAGGCGCAAUGGCCUGUUGGGCUCUUGCACUGCUGGUGCAAUGUCGCUCACUUGAAGCCAGUAUUUUCAUAUAUGGGACGGAAGCGACUUCUUCUAGCAGGGAGUUCCUCGAAGACGAAAAUCCACUUCGUGACCAUGGCAUUGGCUAAACAAGCGACAACAUUGUUAAUUUCUCAGCUUUGUUGAGCAGCACCCUACCCCGUUUGGCAGUGAAAUUCUGGGGCCAAAAAUAUAUCUCGAAUUCAUGUUUCUUUAUUUACUUAUUUUAAAAUUAAUUAUCUUUAUGAUGUCAAGAGAGAGGACUUACUCUUACAAUUUUGCCGCACUAAUUAUUAUCAACCACUAAAUCUCCAUUAAAUGAUUGAAUUUUCUUGGAUGCUACAUUCAAAUUUUCUCACUGUUAUGCCAAUCCUUUCACAGAACACCCGAUACACAUGUACUCCCAGUUGAACAACAAAUUAUGAAAUGAAAGCUUCAACGACAAAUUAUAAAAUGAAAGCAUACUAGAUAAAAGCAAGCCAAGGACACAAAAGCAAUCAACGUCAUAUUUUUGGGAUGCGAAGGUAGUCAGUCAUAUGCCAACUGUUACCUCCAUUAACAAGGGCAUGAUGGGGUGUAGGGAUCCUUUAAAACUAGGUUCCAUGUCGCAUUUGGAUCCUCGGUUGUGAAUCUGGUCCAAGUAGGAGGGGAAUUCUCAUAUCUACUGUGUGUGAUGCGAUUGAACUUCUUCACAUCCUUAUUCUUAUUUAUGUCAUCCGGGUCUAUAUCGACAGUGAAGACAUCUCCAUAAGGC
rnacentral:misc_RNA from 1 species